CAGUCGCCGCGGUAAUACGUAGGGUGCGAGCGUUAAUCGGAAUUACUGGGCGUAAAGCGUGCGCAGGCGGUUAUAUAAGACAGUUGUGAAAUCCCCGGGCUCAACCUGGGAACUGCAUCUGUGACUGUAUAGCUAGAGUACGGUAGAGGGGGAUGGAAUUCCGCGUGUAGCAGUGAAAUGCGUAGAUAUGCGGAGGAACACCUGUGGCGAAAGCGGCUCACUGGACCAUUACUGACGCUGAUGCACGAAAGCGUGGGGAGCAAACAGGAUUAGAUACCCCAGUAGUCCCUGUCUCUUAUAA
rnacentral:rRNA from 1 species